GUUUCAGUGGUCUAGCGGUUAUGAUUUCUGUCUAACAAACAUUCAUAUUCGCUUGAUUGUACACAGAAGGUUCCAGGUUCGAUUCCUGGCUGAAGUG